ACGGCCCGGUCAACGUGGUGGCACCCAGGGUCGUUGACAACCGCGAGUUCACCCACACAUUGGGUCGCGUCCUCCGUCGUCCUACGAUCAUUCCGAUGCCAGCAUUCGCCGCACGGCUGGUAUUCGGCGAAAUGGCGGACGCGUUGUUGUUGGCAAGCCAGCGCGUCGAACCAAUUCGGCUAACGACAAGCGGUUACGAAUUUCGGUUCCGGGAACUCGAACCUGCGUUGCGGCAUCUGUUGGGCCGGUAGGCUCGACUGCCGACAUUCGACCGUACAAGCUCGAUUCCAGAACAGCCUCGACAACUUUCGGCCAAUCCUGUUUAGUCCACAGGUAUUGGGAGACAUUUAUGGGGAGACACAUUCGACUCGUCGCAAUCUUCGCGUUGGUUUUGCUGCCUGCCAGUUUCGGAUUUUCACAGCAGUCAUUCGGUCGCGUGGACAUCCGUGCCUUGCGUCCCAGCAACACGGUAACCUUCAAGACCGCGGACACGAACGUCGCGAUCGGCUACGCAGCAUGGCGAAACGAGAAUCCGCGGGCGACCAUCGUCGCGCAAAGCAGGUUACGACCAAUUGGUCUGAGGUUACUUUCCAGUUCUCGGUGGCCCAGAGCGAUCAGGUCACAUUGAUCCUGCGCGGACGUUAUCGCGAGACGGAACCGACCGGCGAACUCAUCCACGAUUGGGUGUGGGUGGACAACGUCAGCCUCGUUGGGGCGAACAAAGAGCGCUUAUGCCAAAACGGCAGUUUCGAAAAAGUACACGGAUUUAUCGGUCGUCGGGAACGGGAUGGCCAGCCGGAGAAAUGGGGCUACAAGGGUAAAAACCGCGAGAUCAAGUUCGACGCCUCCU
rnacentral:misc_RNA from 1 species